UACGAAGGGGGCUAGCGUUGCUCGGAAUUACUGGGCGUAAAGGGCGCGUAGGCGGCCUUCUAAGUCGAACGUGAAAUCCCUGGGCUCAACCCAGGAACUGCGUCCGAUACUGGGAGGCUUGAAUCCGGGAGAGGGAUGCGGAAUUCCAGGUGUAGCGGUGAAAUGCGUAGAUAUCUGGAGGAACACCGGUGGCGAAGGCGAUUACCUGGCCUGUUCUUGACGCUGAGGCGCGAAAGCUAGGGGAGCAACAGGGG
rnacentral:rRNA from 1 species